GACGAACGCUGGCGGCGUGCUUAACACAUGCAAGUCGAACGGGCCUGUCUUCUUUUUUGGGGGUGGGUUGAGUGGCGAACGGGUGAGUAUCACGUGAGUAACCUGCCCUUCGGUCCUGGAUAACCGCUUGAAAGGGCGGCUAAUACGGGGUGGUCCGGUUGGUCCGCAUGGGCUGGUCGGGAUAGAUUCACUGUUUUUGGUGUUUCGGCGGGGGAUGGGCUCGCGGCCUAUCAGCUUGUUGGUGGGGUGAUGGCCUACCAAGGCGGUGACGGGUAGGCGGGCGAAGAGGGGGCGGCGUCACAGUGAGACUGGGAUACGGCCCAGACUCCUGCGGGAGGGAGCAGUGGGGGGUAUAGCACUGGGGGCGGAAGCCUGAUGCAGCGACGUCGCGUGAGGGAUGGGGGCCUUCGGGUUGUGGGCCUCUGUUUAGGGUGGGGAAGGCCCUGGCCAUGUGGUGGGGUUGACGGUAGCCGGGGAUGAAGCGCCGGCUAACUACGUG
rnacentral:rRNA from 1 species